CCCUAUCCUCUCCCCAGCUCAUCUGCAUCUCCUUUCUGCCUUACAGUCAUCCCCAAUUUAGGAUUUUUAGACUUUAUGAUUGUGUGAAAGCGAUAUACGUUCAGUAGAAACUGUACUUAGUACCCAUACAGCCAUUCUGUUUUUUACUUUCAGUACAGUAUUCAUUACAUGAGAUAUUCACUUUAUUGUAGAACAGGCUUGGUGUUAGAUGAUUUUGUCCAACUAUAAUAGGCUAAUCUUAAGUGUUCUGAGCACAUGUAAGGUAGGCUAGGUGUAUUAAAUGCAUUUUCAGCUUGUUUUCAACUUAACAAUGGGUUUAUCAGGAUGUAACCCUAUUGUAAGUCAAGGACCUUCUGUCUUCACUUCUUGACCACCCCACCUCUAUCACCAUAGGCUGGGAAGAUUGUGAAUCAGAGGCCAGACUCUAGGCUUUCAUGGAGAAAAUUUACAAAAAAAAAAAAAAAAUGAGGCCAGACUCACACUUAGGCCUACCCAGGCUUUCUAGAUGAUAGGGAACCCCCAUCUCACUGCCAGGUGUUUUUAGACACCCCCGUGUCCACCCUUUUGACUACCUGUUCCGCCUCCACAGAUCCUGCACCCUGAGGAAUGCAUGUAUGCUGUGGGCCAGGUACACUUGACCAGGGAAGCCACAUGGUGACAUAUGCCUUCCCUUUGUUCUCAACCAAGAAGCUUGUCUCACAACCUUCUGCAUCUGCUUCCCCAGAAUAGCAUUCUCAGGGAGGGGCAGGCCUUGGGAUGCUACCGGUCCAAAAGGCGCUGGGGAGCAAGUAGAUAGAGGUGGUCCCAUGCUUUGCGCCAUUGGUUGGGGAAAGAUCAGGCCUGAUGUCCUAGGAUGUUUUUCCAUCAGGGAGCCUUGGGCGUGGAAGUCCGAGCCAAGGACCAGGACAUCUUGGAUCUGGUGGGUGUGCUGCACGAUCCUGAGACUCUGCUUCGCUGCAUCGCUGAAAGGGCCUUCCUGAGGCACCUGGUAGGGCCUGUGCUCCACCUGUGGAGGGCUGGGGACUUGGAGAGCUGGGAAAGGCGGUAGGGAAGAUUUCUCACAUGAAUGCUCUGUAUACAGUGCUAACUCAUUCUUGUUGAAUGUUGUGUAUGGAUAGGACCAGGUCUGGGCCCACAGUUGCCUUUUCAGUGAUGUCCUCAGGUCUGUGGUCACAGGGUGGUGUUAAGAGCCCUUGCAGCUCACAAGAACUUCUUGUUACAGGAAGGAGGCUGCAGUGUGCCAGUAGCCGUGCAUACAGCUAUGAAGGAUGGGCAACUGUACCUGACUGGAGGAGUCUGGAGUCUAGACGGCUCAGAUAGCAUACAAGAGACCAUGCAGGCUACCAUCCAUGUCCCUGCCCAGCAUGAAGAUGGCCCUGAGGAUGACCCACAGUUGGUAGGCAUCACUGCUCGUAACAUUCCACGAGGGCCCCAGUUGGCUGCCCAGAACUUGGGCAUCAGCCUGGCCAACUUGUUGCUGAGCAAAGGAGCCAAAAACAUCCUGGAUGUUGCACGGCAGCUUAACGAUGCCCAUUAACUGGUUU
rnacentral:sRNA from 1 species